rnacentral:rRNA from 1 species
AUUGAACGCUGGCGGCAGGCCUAACACAUGCAAGUCGAACGAGUGGCGGACGGGUAAGUAAUGUCUGGGAAACUGCCCGAUGGAGGGGGAUAACUACUGGAAACGGUAGCUAAUACCGCAUACCAUCGGAUGUGCCCAGAUGGGAUAAGUUGGUAGGUGGGGUAACGGCUCACCUAGGCGACGAUCCCUACAUGGUCUGAGAGGAUGACCACCCGCACUGGACAUGAUGCACGGUCCAGACUCCUAAGGUAGGCAGCGGUGGGGACUAUUGAACAACGGGCGGAAGCCGGAUGCAGCGAUGCCGCGUGGAUGAAGAAGGCCUUCGGGUUGUAAAGUACUAUCAGCGAGGAGGCGUUACUCGAAGAAGAAGCACCGGCUAACUACGUGCCCGCAGCCGCGGUAAUAC